UGAGGAAUAUUGGUCAAUGGGCGGGAGCCUGAACCAGCCAAGUCGCGUGAGGGAAGACGGUCCUAUGGAUUGUAAACCUCUUUUGUCGGGGAGCAAAGAGGCCACGUGUGGUCAAAAGCGAGAGUACCCGAAGAAAAGCAUCGGCUAACUCCGUGCC
rnacentral:rRNA from 1 species